GGAACUCUGUGUGUGUGUGUGUGUGUGUGUGUGUGUGUGUGUGUGUGUGUGUGCGUGCGCGCGCGUGCGCGCGCACACACACACACACAC
rnacentral:miRNA from 1 species